GACGAACCGAGCGAACGUUGUUCGGAAUCACUGGGCUUAAAGGGCGCGUAGGCGGACUAUCAAGUCUGGGGUGAAAUCCCGCGGCUCAACCGUGGAACUGCCUCAGAUACUGACGGUCUCGAGGGAGGUAGGGGCAUGCGGAACUGUAGGUGGAGCGGUGAAAUGCGUUGAUAUCUACAGGAACUCCGGUGGCGAAAGCGGCGUGCUGGACCUCUUCUGACGCUGAGGCGCGAAAGCCAGGGGAGCGAACGGG
rnacentral:rRNA from 1 species